UAGAGUUUGAUCCUGGCUCAGAUUGAACGCUGGCGGCAGGCUUAACACAUGCAAGUCGAACGGUAACAGGAAGCAGCUUGCUGCUUUGCUGACGAGUGGCGGACGGGUGAGUAAUGUCUGGGAAACUGCCUGAUGGAGGGGGAUAACUACUGGAAACGGUAGCUAAUACCGCAUAACGUCGCAAGACCAAAGUGGGGGACCUACGGGCCUCAUGCCAUCAGAUGUGCCCAGAUGGGAUUAGCUAGUAGGUGGGGUAAUGGCUCACCUAGGCGACGAUCCCUAGCUGGUCUGAGAGGAUGACCAGCCACACUGGAACUGAGACACGGUCCAGACUCCUACGGGAGGCAGCAGUGGGGAAUAUUGCACAAUGGGCGCAAGCCUGAUGCAGCCAUGCCGCGUGUAUGAAGAAGGCCUUCGGGUUGUAAAGUACUUUCAGCGAGGAGGAAGGCAUUAAGGUUAAUAACCUUAGUGAUUGACGUUACUCGCAGAAGAAGCACCGGCUAACUCCGUGCCAGCAGCCGCGGUAAUACGGAGGGUGCAAGCGUUAAUCGGAAUUACUGGGCGUAAAGCGCACGCAGGCGGUCUGUUAAGUCAGAGGUGAAAUCCCCGGGCUCAACCUGGGAACUGCAUUUGAAACUGGCAGGCUUGAGUCUCGUAGAGGGGGGGUAGAAUUCCAGGUGUAGCGGUGAAAUGGCGUAGAGAUUCUGGAGGAAUACGGGUGGGCCGAAAGGCGGCUCCCUUGGACGAAGACUGACGCUCAGUGCGAAAGCGUGGGGAGCAAAC
rnacentral:rRNA from 1 species